rnacentral:misc_RNA from 1 species
GAUGAAGAACGCAGCGAAAUGCGAUAAGUAAUGUGAAUUGCAGAAUUCAGUGAAUCAUCGAAUCUUUGAACGCACAUUGCGCCCGCCAGCAUUCUGGCGGGCUUGCCUGUUCGAGCGUCAUUUCAACCCUCGAGCCCCCCCGGGGGCCUCGGUGUUGGGGGACGGCACACCAGCCGCCCCCGAAAUGCAGUGGCGACCCCGCCGCAGCCUCCCCUGCGUAGUAGCACACACCUCGCACCGGAGCGCGGAGGCGGUCACGCCGUAAAACGCCCAACUUUCUUAGAGUUGACCUCGGAUCAGGUAGGAAUACCCGCUGAACUUAAGCAUAUCAAUAAGCGGAGGA